rnacentral:rRNA from 1 species
CCAGACUCCUACGGGAGGCAGCAGUGAGGAAUAUUGGACAAUGGUCGGAAGACUGAUCCAGCCAUGCCGCGUGCAGGAUGACGGCCUUAUGGGUUGUAAACUGCUUUUGUAAGGGAAGAAUAAGGAGUACGUGUACUUUGAUGACGGUACCUUACGAAUAAGCAUCGGCUAACUCCGUGCCAGCAGCCGCGGUAAUACGGAGGAUGCGAGCGUUAUCCGGAAUCAUUGGGUUUAAAGGGUCUGUAGGCGGGCUUGUAAGUCAGAGGUGAAAGCGCUUAGCUCAACUAAGCAACUGCCUUUGAAACUGUUGGUCUUGAAUGGUUGUGAAGUAGUUGGAAUGUGUAGUGUAGCGGUGAAAUGCUUAGAUAUUACACAGAACACCGAUAGCGAAGGCAUAUUACUAACAAUUGAUUGACGCUGAUGGACGAAAGCGUGGGGAGCGAACAGGAUUAGAUACCCUGGUAGUCCACGCUGUAAACGAUGGAUACUAGCUGUUUGGAGUAAUCUGAGUGGCUAAGCGAAAGUGAUAAGUAUCCCACCUGGGGAGUACGUUCGCAAGAAUGAAACUCAAAGGAAUUGACGGGGGCCCGCACAAG